rnacentral:lncRNA from 1 species
UGAUCCUCAAACGCUCAACGAAGCUAUUAGCCAAGCUGUAAAGUGUGACAACCGCCUAUUCCAGCGUCGCCAAGACCAACGUCCAAGACACCAAAUGACUCGUUACGACGUGACUAUGUCUGCAAAUAGCUUAAACUCACAUUCGGAGGCAACAGACAUGCAAAUCGACACGGUGCGUGUCCGAUCUCUUACUCCAACAGAGAAGAAACGG